ensembl:lncRNA
CAGCGAAACGCCCCCUGGCAGGGCCCCCUCCCUCCUCCCUCCUGGGCAAUCGAUGACUCAAACUUGACAUCAGACCCUGGCGGACAGUGGCACCUCAUGGACUGUAGCCUGCCAGGCUCCUCUGUCCAUGGGAUUUUCCUGGCAAGAAUACUUGAGCACGUUGCCAUGCCCUCCUGCAGAGAUCUUCCUGACCGAGAGAUGGAGAGAUGGAAAUCAUGUCUCCUGCAUCUCCUACAUUGCAGGGGGAGUGUCUUGAAGUACAGGGACUCUCAAGCACCUGGAGGCCAACAACUGCAGAUGUCUGCCUGAAGGCAAAGAUUUGAUCAGGUUGAUGAAACC